UAACUGGAAGAAACUGAAUACAAAAGAGGAUAUGUGGACAUAUAUCAAGACAAAAUAUGACAUUCAUGAUGAUGGAAGAGAGUGGGUUUUUCAAUCAAUUCAAAAUGCUUGGAGAAG